GUCAACAUGGUGUAGUCGGUUAUCACAUGUCUCACACACAGAAGAUCCGCAGUUCGAAUCUGCGUGUUGACA
rnacentral:tRNA from 1 species